rnacentral:rRNA from 3 species
GAACCUGCGGAAGGAUCAUUACCGAGAGA